GGUAACACUGAAUGGAGGACCGAACCGACUUACGUUGAAAAGUGAGCGGAUGAACUGAGGGUAGCGGAGAAAUUCCAAUCGAACCUGGAGAUAGCUGGUUCUCUCCGAAAUAGCUUUAGGGCUAGCCUCAAGUGAUGAUUAUUGGAGGUAGAGCACUGUUUGGACGAGGGGCCCCUCUCGGGUUACCGAAUUCAGACAAACUCCGAAUGCCAAUUAAUUUAACUUGGGAGUCAGAACAUGGGUGAUAAGGUCCGUGUUCGAAAGGGAAACAGCCCAGACCACCAGCUAAGGUCCCAAAAUAUAUGUUAAGUGGAAAAGGAUGUGGCGUUGCCCAGACAACUAGGAUGUUGGCUUAGAAGCAGCCAUCAUUUAAAGAGUGCGUAAUAGCUCACUAGUCGAGUGACACUGCGCCGAAAAUGUACCGGGGCUAAACAUAUUACCGAAGCUGUGGAUUGUCCUUUGGACAAUGGUAGGAGAGCGUUCUAAGGGCGUUGAAGCAUGAUCGUAAGGACAUGUGGAGCGCUUAGAAGUGAGAAUGCCGGUGUGAGUAGCGAAAGACGGGUGAGAAUCCCGUCCACCGAUUGACUAAGGUUUCCAGAGGAAGGCUCGUCCGCUCUGGGUUAGUCGGGUCCUAAGCUGAGGCCGACAGGCGUAGGCGAUGGAUAACAGGUUGAUAUUCCUGUACCACCUAUAAUCGUUUUAAUCGAUGGGGGGACGCAGUAGGAUAGGCGAAGCGUGCGAUUGGAUUGCACGUCUAAGCAGUAAGGCUGAGUAUUAGGCAAAUCCGGUACUCGUUAAGGCUGAGCUGUGAUGGGGAGAAGACAUUGUGUCUUCGAGUCGUUGAUUUCACACUGCCGAGAAAAGCCUCUAGAUAGAAAAUAGGUGCCCGUACCGCAAACCGACACAGGUAGUCAAGAUGAGAAUUCUAAGGUGAGCGAGCGAACUCUCGUUAAGGAACUCGGCAAAAUGACCCCGUAACUUCGGGAGAAGGGGUGCUCUUUAGGGUUAACGCCCAGAAGAGCCGCAGUGAAUAGGCCCAAGCGACUGUUUAUCAAAAACACAGGUCUCUGCUAAACCGUAAGGUGAUGUAUAGGGGCUGACGCCUGCCCGGUGCUGGAAGGUUAAGAGGAGUGGUUAGCUUCUGCGAAGCUACGAAUCGAAGCCCCAGUAAACGGCGGCCGUAACUAUAACGGUCCUAAGGUAGCGAAAUUCCUUGUCGGGUAAGUUCCGACCCGCACGAAAGGCGUAACGAUUUGGGCACUGUCUCAACGAGAGACUCGGUGAAAUCAUAGUACCUGUGAAGAUGCAGGUUACCCGCGACAGGACGGAAAGACCCCGUGGAGCUUUACUGUAGCCUGAUAUUGAAAUUCGGCACAGCUUGUACAGGAUAGGUAGGAGCCUUUGAAACGUGAGCGCUAGCUUACGUGGAGGCGCUGGUGGGAUACUACCCUAGCUGUGUUGGCUUUCUAACCCGCACCACUUAUCGUGGUGGGAGACAGUGUCAGGCGGGCAGUUUGACUGGGGCGGUCGCCUCCUAAAAGGUAACGGAGGCGCUCAAAGGUUCCCUCAGAAUGGUUGGAAAUCAUUCAUAGAGUGUAAAGGCAUAAGGGAGCUUGACUGCGAGACCUACAAGUCGAGCAGGGUCGAAAGACGGACUUAGUGAUCCGGUGGUUCCGCAUGGAAGGGCCAUCGCUCAACGGAUAAAAGCUACCCCGGGGAUAACAGGCUUAUCUCCCCCAAGAGUUCACAUCGACGGGGAGGUUUGGCACCUCGAUGUCGGCUCAUCGCAUCCUGGGGCUGUAGUCGGUCCCAAGGGUUGG
rnacentral:rRNA from 1 species